rnacentral:pre_miRNA from 1 species
AGUGGGAUACCUGGGUCAAAUGGUUGUUCCAUUUCAAGUUUUGUGAGGAAUCUCCAUACUGCUUUCCAGAGUGGUUGCACCAAUUUGCAUCCCACCAGCAAU